rnacentral:rRNA from 1 species
CCUACGGGAGGCAGCAGUGAGGAAUAUUGGUCAAUGGGCGCGAGCCUGAACCAGCCAAGUAGCGUGAAGGAUGACUGCCCUACGGGUUGUAAACUUCUUUUAUAAAGGAAUAAAGUGAGGCACGUGUGCCUUUUUGUAUGUACUUUAUUAAUUAGGAUCGGCCAACUUCGUGCCUGCAGCGGCGGUAAUACGGAGGAGCCGUGCGUUAUCCGGAUUUAUUGGGUUUAAGGGGAGCGUAGAUGGGGUGUUAAGUCAGUUGUGAAAGUUUGCGGCUCAACCGUAAAAUUGCAAUUGAUACUGGCAGCCUUGAGUACAGAUGAGGUAGGCGGAAUUCGUGGUGUAGCGGUGAAAUGCGUAGAUAUCACGAAGAACUCCGAUUGCGAAGGCAGCUUACUAAACUGCCACUGACAUUGAUGCUCGAAAGUGUGGGUAUCAAACAGGAUUAGAUACCCUUGUAGUC